rnacentral:rRNA from 1 species
UNGGAGAGGAAAGUGGAAUUCCUAGUGUAGCGGUGAAAUGCGUAGAUAUUAGGAAGAACACCAGUGGCGAAGGCGACUUUCUGGACGAAAACUGACGCUGAGGCGCGAAAGCCAGGGGAGCGAACGGGAUUAGAUACCCCGGUAGUCCUGGCCGCAAACGAUGGGUACUAGGUGUAGGAGGUAUCGACCCCUUCUGUGCCGGAGUUAACGCAAUAAGUACCCCGCCUGGGGAGUACGACCGCAAGGUUGAAACUCAAAGGAAUUGACGGGGGCCCGCACAAGCGGUGGAGUAUGUGGUUUAAUUCGACGCAACGCGAAGAACCUUACCAGGUCUUGACAUUGAUGGACAGAACCAGAGAUGGUUCCUCUUCUUCGGAAGCCAGAAAACAGGUGGUGCACGGUUGUCGUCAGCUCGUGUCGUGAGAUGUUGGGUUAAGUCCCGCAACGAGCGCAACCCCUAUCUUAUGUUGCCAGCACGUAAAAGUGGGAACUCAUGAGAGACUGCCGCAGACAAUGCGGAGGAAGGCGGGGAUGACGUCAAAUCAUCAUGCCCCUUAUGACCUGGGCUACACACGUACUACAAUGGGAGUUAAUAGACGGAAGCGAGAUCGCGAGAUGGAGCAAACCCGAGAAACACUCUCUCAGUUCGGAUCGUAGGCUGCAACUCGCCUACGUGAAGUCGGGAUCGCUAGUAAUCGCAGGUCAGCAUACUGCGGUGAAUACGUUCCCGGGCCUUGUACACACCGCCCGUCACACCACGAAAGUCGGAAGUGCCCAAAGCCGGUGGGGUAACCUUCGG